ACAGGGAUUGCCCCAGUAACGGCGAGUGAAGCGGCAAUAGCUCAAAUUUGAAAUCUGGCUCUUUCAGGGUCCGAGUUGUAAUUUGCAGAGGGCGCUUUGGUGUCGGCAGCGGCCUAAGUUCCUUGGAACAGGUCAUCAUAGAGGGUGAGAAUCCCGUAUGUGGCUGCUUGUCUUCACCGUGUAAAGCCCCUUCGAUGAGUCGAGUUGUUUGGGAAUGCAGCUCUAAAUGGGAGGUAAAUUUCUUCUAAAGCUAAAUAUUGGCCAGAGACCGAUAGCGCACAAGUAGAGUGAUCGAAAGAUGAAAAGCACUUUGGAAAGAGAGUCAAAAAGCACGUGAAAUUGUUGAAAGGGAAGCGCUUGCAGCCAGACGUGCCCGUAGUUGCUCAUCUGGGGAUUUCCCCAGUGCACUCUUCUAUGGGCAGGCCAGCAUCAGUUCGGGCGGUUGGAGAAAGACCUGUGUCACGUAGCUCUCUUCGGGGAGUGUUAUAGGGCAGGUGGAAUGCAACCAGCCUGGACUGAGGUCCGCGCAUCUGCUAGGAUGCUGGCGUAAUGGCUGUAAGCGGCCCGUCUUGAAACACGGACCAAGGAGUCUAACAUCUAUGCGAGUGUUUGGGUGUCAAGCCCGAGCGCGUAAUGAAAGUGAACGGAGGUGGGAACCCCUCGGGGUGCACCAUCGACCGAUCCUGAUGUCUUCGGAUGGAUUUGAGUAAGAGCAUAGCUGUUGGGACCCGAAAGAUGGUGAACUAUGCCUGAAUAGGGUGAAGCCAGAGGAAACUCUGGUGGAGGCUCGCAGCGGUUCUGACGUGCAAAUCGAUCGUCAAAUUUGGGCAUAGGGGCGAAAGACUAAUCGAU
rnacentral:rRNA from 1 species